rnacentral:rRNA from 1 species
GCCGUAAACGAUGUCUACUAGCCGUUGGGAGACUUGAUUUCUUAGUGGCGCAGCUAACGCAAUAAGUAGACCGCCUGGGAGUACGGCCGCAAGGUUAAAACUCAAAUGAAUUGACGGGGGCCCGCACAAGCGGUGGAGCAUGUGGUUUAAUUCGAUGCAACGCGAAGAACCUUACCAGGUCUUGACAUCCUGCGAAUUUUCUAGAGAUAGAUUAGUGCCUUCGGGAACGCAGUGACAGGUGCUGCAUGGCUGUCGUCAGCUCGUGUCGUGAGAUGUUGGGUUAAGUCCCGUAACGAGCGCAACCCUUGUCCUUAGUUGCCAGCACAUAAUGGUGGGAACUCUAAGGAGACUGCCGGUGACAAACCGGAGGAAGGUGGGGACGACGUCAAGUCAUCAUGGCCCUUACGACCUGGGCUACACACGUGCUACAAUGGAACGCACAGAGGGCUGCAAAGGCGCGAGCUGGAGCGAAUCCCACAAAACGUUUCGUAGUCCGGAUUGGAGUCUGCAACUCGACUCCAUGAAGUCGGAAUCGCUAGUAAUCGUGAAUCAGAAUGUCACGGUGAAUACGUUCCCGGGCCUUGUACACACCGCCCGUCACACCAUGGGAGUGGGUUGCAAAAGAAGUGGGUAGACUAACCUUCGGGAGGUCGCUCACCACUUUGUGAUUCAUGACUGGGGUGAAGUCGUAACAAGGUA